AAGUUAAGAGUAAAUACUGCUUUCUUAAUUAUGAUUUUUGAGUAAAUGUUUUUUUUCCGAGCUCCGCAUGUCAACUACGUCAUGACGUUUUCUCUCUAACCUGAACGACAUUGACAGAAAACUCUUUUCAAUAUGGCUGCCCUUCUCGAGCGACUGGAGAGCACAUUUGGAGAAACUUGCUGAAGACCGACGAUAAAAAGACAGAAGGAAAAAAAAAUUCAGACUGCAAGUAAUUUCAGAUCUACCAAGGGUCAGUGGCACAGUUCACCUUUUGUGGAGGCGCCUGAUAUCAACGUGAAACGCACUGCAGUACUUUGUGCCCUUCCUGUAUACCUGUGGGAGCAGGACCCAGAAUUCUUUAAGACAUGUAAUGAGGACGCAUUGGAUGAGUCCACCCUCAUUGACACUCCAUUUGCCCUUCUCACAGUGGUUAACCCUAGAACACUAUCGCCGGGUGAUUUACACCCGAGCAAAUACAUUUACAUGAUUUCUCUCUCCUGCAGCUGUUUGCGUGUCGAGGAGCCUGUGCCUUCACCAGGGAAGUCUCAAAUUUCCCAGGAAUGGGUGGACCAAAGACCAGCUUUCCAGAGUCAUUAUUUUGUUUUAGGAGGUUUUUUUUUUUCAUUUUGUUAGACAUGGCACAGUUGAAAGUAAAAGAAGAUCACUCUAAUUUGUCAUGUGUUGUCAUAUUUUGAUAUAUUUGAUUACUUUUUAUUGGUUAUAUUAUAUCGGGUAAAAAUCACCCGGCAUUAGUGAUUGUGUUACUAUUUAUAGCGAUAGUGUUCUAGGGUUAAGGACGGCGCUUCCCAGUCCAGCCCAUUUUACUUCCUCAAGCAUGGCUGUUGUGGUGAAAGGCGACUAGGUGAUGCGUGAUAUUCCCAGAUUUGCAGAUGCAUUUGCUUUAUUGUUUGGCUUGAUUUAUGCUGUGCAUUUAGACUACCCCAGGAAGCUCGUUCACACAUUUACCUUUGUCCAAAAUAUCUUCAUGGGGCUUGAUGACGGCAAACCCCUGAAACCCCUGCCUACAUGCUCUUAAGGAAUAUAAGGCAAUGUUUGUUAGGACAUGCACUCUGUUACUGAGCACUUUGUUUGAAGCACUUUAAGUUUACUACAGGCUUUGGGUGGAUUUAACUCCAUCAGUUUAUUCCUCCAUUUAGAGAGAGAGAACACAACAGCAAAGCCACAUCUCUUGGCACGUAACACUAUACUAUACUUGACCUGUUCUGGUUAUUUGGAAGCUGAUCGUCUUUCUUUGUACCCAUUUUAAAAAAAAUUGUUUUUCAUUUCUAUUUUAAAAAAAAGUGAUUAGUAUUUGACUUUUUGUUUUGCAUUUUUAUGUAUUUUGGGAAAGAUACAAUUAGGACUGAUGUCGUCCUCUGUGAUUUUAAAAAAAGAUAAAUGUUCUACACUGAAUUUAUAAUGCUCACUUUAUGGUGCCCAUG